UUAGUCGAUAUAACAACGUUGGGUUUUAUGCUAACUCUAUUCACAUAAAAAUGCCUAAAUUAUUAUCUAUAAUUCGUGCCAUCUAAGCAACGGAAAUUUUAUGACGCAUAAUUUGAAAUAUUACGAACUAUAUUCACAAGCACAAAUUAGUUGACUAAAAAAAAUUGGCUGAACAAAGUUUAUGAAAGUCAUACUAAAUAACAUCCAACAAUUAAUUGUAUUGUUGUUAUAUGCGAACGUCUCCUCCUUAGUUAGUUGGUUAUCGAUUUAUUUUGCUAAAUAGAACGCCAAUCACUAUUAAGUGAUGGAUUAGACCACUCAUUACAAUAAAAAUUUGUUGGAUAAUGUCACAGAAGUGGCUAUUAACCAUUUUAUUUUCUUAAAAUCCUCGUUCCUAAAAUUUUAUUUUUCUAUGGCCUAAAAAGAACGCAAAAUUUGCAAAAGAAUGGGGCUGUCAGCUGUCAUAUUGUUUGUUUCUUUAAGAUAUAAAUCAUACAUUGUGGAAGUCAUACCGCGGGUGUUUUGAUAAUUUAUUCACAGGGUUACAAAGUGAAGGAACUGUAUAGGUGUCUCCUUUUAAAAAUGAAAUAAUUUUGAAAGAAUUUGUUCAUAAAAGUAAAAAAAUAAAUUAAAUGAAGAAAAGAUAAAUAAUGAAAAGCAAAACCACUAAAAAAUUAUUUUUUCGAUACCUUUAAAAAACAUAUUUCACACAAAGAUAAUAAUUAGUUUUAAACAAAAGAAAAAUUUCUUUGUAGUCAUUUUUAGUACAAAGAAAAGAAAAGAAAGAAAAACAAAAGAAUAUUUACCAAGAUGUAUAAAGAUUCGUUGAUUAUUUUUUUCCUUUUUCGCAUCAUGAAAAUAUUAAGUUAAGUUAAUUUUUAUCGAAUCUAAAUUAAAAGAAAAACCAAAUUGGAUUCAUUCAACAAUAAACAAACAAAACAUUUGUAAUGGUUCUAGGUUAAACCUAUGGGUUCUUUUUUUUAAAUGACAUUUUUAAUUUUAUUAUUGAAGAAAAGAAAAAGAAAAACAAAAAACAAAAAUGUGAAUAUUUACAUAAUCGUAUAUUUUUUCAUAUAUAUAAACAAAAAUAUAUAUAUGUAUAAGCCAUGUUUUCCGCCUUUUUUAUUAUUAAACAAAUAAGAAUUAUACACUAUUUAUUAUGAUUAUGAAAUGAAUAAUUAAAAAAUAAAAAAAUAAAAAAAAAAACAUUAAAAAUGAAGAAUAAAAAACAUUUAAAAAAAAUUUAGUUAGUGUCGUUGUUGAUGUUCUUAGAAAAAUAUACCAAAACAAAGAAAAAAAAGUAAAAAAAAAACAACCAGUUGCUCAUUAUGUAAAUCAUAAAUUUACCUUUUAAGAAAACAUAUUAUUUUGUGCCACAUUUUUUUUAAGAUGCGAUGCGAUUUAUUAAAAAGAAGAAGAAAAAAAAUGAGAAAAGAAAUAUGAGGGCAAAUACAUAUCACAACUUUCGUUAAUUUGAGGAAGAAGAUGAAAAAAAAUGGAAAAUAAAUGAAAUUAUACAUUCAAUUUAAAACCUAUCGUUAAGCACAAUGAGAAAAUAAUGAAGAAAAACAAAAUAUAUUUUUUCUGCGAGUUUUUAGAGCGCAUUUUCAUUUUUUGGUUGAUUUAUAUGGAAAUAAAAAUAAUUAAAAAAAAAUAGGAAAAUAGCAAUAGAGAUGACAUUAUGGAAACCAAUGCAUUAAUAUUGUGUCCUUCAACCUAUGUAGAAAUUCACAAGCUAAUUUAGAUUGUUUAUCAACAAAAUAAAGUAAAAUGAAGAAAAAAGAAUUUAAAAAAAUAAUAAUAAAAUGCAAAUUAUAAUGCAAACAUUACGUAUAUGUACAAUAACACUAUAUAUCUGAUGUCAUAACAUGUGAUGUCACAUUCAACAAGUCAGUUUAACUCCUACUUAUAUACUAAAUAAUAUAAUGUAUUACAACCAACAAUAAUUAUCAAAAUUAGACACAUUAAUGACGUCGAUUAAAAUAUAUAAAUGAAAAAUGAUGGGAAAGAACAAUCUAUAAAAUUUUGUGUUUUUAAAAUGGAACAGUCUGAUAUUUUAGCAGGGACCGUAUUACGGGGGAAAAUUUUCCAAUAUUUUCUUGAAUUUUCCUAGAUGUUCCCAUUUUUUUUACCUAGAUUUAGGAAAAUGAAGGAUAAUUCGGAAAAAUGUUGGAAAAUUUGUGGAACAGAAAAUAAAAAAAACAAAAAGGGACAUUUCAGACUGUGCAAUUUUAAAAGUGAAGAUCUUUUACAUUGGAUUUCAAGGACGAAUUUUUACUGAAAAAAUCAAUAGAAAAACACUGAACCAAGAUUUUAUCAAAAAAAUAAAUUAAAUUAAAAAUUAAUGAACGAUUUCAUAAAUAAUGUUGUGAGAAAAGAGUUAUAUUUUAUGCAAUUACGUUGUGUGAUGUUCACGUUUCCAUUGCAGUGCAUAUCGCGUUUCAUAUACCUACAAAAUUUGUCAAUGUAAUUCCACAUUUCAGUUCAAUUUCCGUAAAAUGUGAGG